rnacentral:lncRNA from 1 species
GGUGUAUUAUAUCAGGUAACUUGUAUUGAAAAUAUUUUUACGAGUAUCUGAUGUUAUUUUAUUAAGUUCAACGAGUAAAUAAAGCAUUAAUAAGUAAAUGAAUACAUGAAAUGAACCAUGAUUUGGAUUAAUGAUAUUGUAACACCCUUAACCCGUAUCCGUCGCCAGAUUAGGGUUACAGAGCAUUACCUUACAAAUGGAACAUUUAAAAUUAAUUUCAUUCAGUAACAUAAACAUAUCAUAAGCCAAUCAUACAUACACAUACCAUCCCUAAAUCAAGUCC